rnacentral:rRNA from 1 species
AGUGAACGCUGGCGGUAGGCCUAACACAUGCAAGUCGAACGGCAGCACAGUAAGAGCUUGCUCUUACGGGUGGCGAGUGGCGGACGGGUGAGGAAUACAUCGGAAUCUACUUUUUCGUGGGGGAUAACGUAGGGAAACUUACGCUAAUACCGCAUACGACCUACGGGUGAAAGCAGGGGAUCUUCGGACCUUGCGCGAUUGAAUGAGCCGAUGUCGGAUUAGCUAGUUGGCGGGGUAAAGGCCCACCAAGGCGACGAUCCGUAGCUGGUCUGAGAGGAUGAUCAGCCACACUGGAACUGAGACACGGUCCAGACUCCUACGGGAGGCAGCAGUGGGGAAUAUUGGACAAAGGGCGCAAGCCUGAUCCAGCCAUACCGCGUGGGUGAAGAAGGCCUUCGGGUUGUAAAGCCCUUUUGUUGGGAAGGAAAAGCAGCAGGUUAAUACCCCGCUGUUCUGACGGUACCCAAAGAAUAAGCACCGGCUAACUUCGUG